AGUGAACGCUGGCGGUAGGCCUAACACAUGCAAGUCGAACGGCAGCACAGUAAGAGCUUGCUCUUACGGGUGGCGAGUGGCGGACGGGUGAGGAAUACAUCGGAAUCUACUUUUUCGUGGGGGAUAACGUAGGGAAACUUACGCUAAUACCGCAUACGACCUACGGGUGAAAGCAGGGGAUCUUCGGACCUUGCGCGAUUGAAUGAGCCGAUGUCGGAUUAGCUAGUUGGCGGGGUAAAGGCCCACCAAGGCGACGAUCCGUAGCUGGUCUGAGAGGAUGAUCAGCCACACUGGAACUGAGACACGGUCCAGACUCCUACGGGAGGCAGCAGUGGGGAAUAUUGGACAAUGGGCGCAAGCCUGAUCCAGCCAUACCGCGUGGGUGAAGAAGGCUUUCGGGUUGUAAAGCCCUUUUGUUGGGAAAGAAAAGCAGCAGGUUAAUACCCCGCUGUUCCGACGGUACCCAAAGAAUAAGCACCGGCUAACUUCGUG
rnacentral:rRNA from 1 species